AAGUCGUAACAAGGUUUCCGUAGGUGAACCUGCGGAAGGAUCAUUAAUACGUUUGAAAAAAACGUUUUAAACUCCAAAAUUUUAAUAGUGGAAAUAUAACUUCCGGAUGCAUUUGUAGGGAGGGGAAGAUUAGACCUUAAAAAGUCUGGUUUUCUCCUUCUUGAAAAGGAAACUUCAUGCACUUUAUUGUGUGUGACACUUCAGAGUAGAGCAGUGAGGUGAAAACUUCGGUUUUGGUUUCUGAAAUACAUCUGUAUCCGGUUAUUUUCUGUUCUACAACCCCUUUUAUAAAACAAUAAACCCCAUGUACAACAACUUGAACUGAACAAAUUUUGUUUUCUCCUUUGUGAGGAAAUGAAGUAAAUCUGAACUUAAGAACAACUCUUAACAACGGAUAUCUUGGUUCUC
rnacentral:misc_RNA from 1 species